GGUCCCUAGUCAGAUAGUUAAUAAAAACCUUAGAAUCGCACUUGAAAGACACUACCUCCAUCCUGAGAAUCAUUGUCACUGCUUAGUCAAGUAAGUAUUUAACUAAAAAAAAAAAAAAAAAAUCAGGUGAAGACUCUUCUCUAAACACCAAACAUCUAGCCAAAGAAAGAGGCUAUAAAAUGAUCCAGCAAAAAGCAAAGCAAAGCACCAAGUCUAUUCUGUUGCUUAUUAAAAACGCAGACCUGAGGGGCUAGGGUUGUGGCUCAGUGGCAAAGUGCUUGCCUGGCAUGUGUGAGGCCCUGGGUUUGAUCCUCAGCACCACAUACAAAAAUAAACAAAUAAAAUGACAUAAUGCUGUCCAUCUACAACUACAAAAAAAUUUUUUUAAAAAUUUAAAAAGCAGAGCUGAGAGCCAACAGUUGAGGGCAAACAGGGGAACCACGUCAAUCAGACAUGGGAAGCCCUGGAGAAUCCCCAUAGACUGCCACUGCCCUACGAGGACUGGAGAGAACCUGGGCAAGAGCAGGCGCACCUGAGGACAUCUUGGCCAGGGUUUGGUGCACCCUGCAGGCUGGAGCGUGCAGGCCACGUAGACCGGAACGCCUGUGUCCACUGCUAACCUGCGUGAAUAGAACACUUGAACACAGUAAGGACAACAGAUCAGAAAACCCUUGAGAAGAGAGAGAGGUACGCGAUUGCCUGGCAUGCGUGCGGCCCGGGUUCGAUCCUCAGCACCACAUGCAAAACAAAGAUGUUGUGUCCGCCGAGAACUAAAAAAAAAAUAAAUAUUAAAAAAAAAAGAGAGAGAGGUAGCACCGUGCCAUUGGGACCACCCCAGAUAUCGAAGGAUGAGAAUACAGAAAAUAAGGGAUAUGACUAAUCCAUAAACCUAGAGCCAAGACGUUUCUGCUCCCACCCCAGCCCAAUCCUACUCACAGACACCCAUGUAGAGCCAGAUCUUUACAUCUAAUGGGUCACCGGAGAAAGAUCAAACACUCAUGGGAUCCCAGGAAUGAGCUAAUAAGAACUGAACCAGCACCUUCAAACUACGAUGCGGAUAACGAUAGUGGCCUGUGCCUAAUUUGUGACGUCAUUAAGAACAGGUCGAUUGCUCAGAACUGUGCUAGCUCUUAAAUUGCUGUCUUAGCUCAUCUAUGACCCAUCUCUCUCGAUCUGGAACAGAUGAAAGGGUCCCAUCCCUGCCCUUCAAUCUGCUCCAUGCUCACGAUCUACUGCAGGACUGCAGAAGUGCUGCUGUUGAACUUGAACUCACUGUAAAAACGUUGUGACCCAGAGUUCUGGUACCUGUGUUCCUGCUGUCUCCAGCCCUCUGCCAAGCCUCUCUCGGCACACUGGUCGCUGGAGCUGGAACGUGCUGGACCCCCCUCCCAGGAGAGGAGAGGACAGAGAUUCGCCCAAGGAGGAACACGGUGCUGAC
rnacentral:lncRNA from 1 species